AACGAACGCUGGCGGCAUGCCUAACACAUGCAAGUCGAACGAGACCUUCGGGUCUAGUGGCGCACGGGUGCGUAACGCGUGGGAACCUGCCCUUAGGUUCGGAAUAACUCCCCGAAAGGGGUGCUAAUACCGGAUAAUUUCUUCGGACCAAAGAUUUAUCGCCUUUGGAUGGGCCCGCGUUGGAUUAGCUAGUUGGUAGGGUAAAAGCCUACCAAGGCGACGAUCCAUAGCUGGUCUGAGAGGAUGAUCAGCCACACUGGGACUGAGACACGGCCCAGACUCCUACGGGAGGCAGCAGUGGGGAAUAUUGGACAAGGGGCGAAAGCCUGAUCCAGCAAGGCCGCGUGAGUGAUGAAGGCCUUAGGGUUGUAAAGCUCUUUUACCCGGGAUGAUAAUGACAGUACCGGGAGGAUAAGCUCCGGCUAACUCCGUG
rnacentral:rRNA from 1 species